rnacentral:rRNA from 1 species
UACGUAGGGUGCGAGCGUUGUCCGGAAUUACUGGGCGUAAAGAGCUCGUAGGUGGUUUGUCGCGUUGUUCGUGAAAACUCACAGCUUAACUGUGGGCGUGCGGGCGAUACGGGCAGACUGGAGUACUGCAGGGGAGACUGGAAUUCCUGGUGUAGCGGUGGAAUGCGCAGAUAUCCGGAGGAACACCAGCGGCGAAGGCGGCAUCCUGGACUGGUCCUGACACUCAGGAGCGAAAGCGUGGGGAGCGAACAGG